UACGUAGGCAGCGAGCGUUGUUCGGAGUUACUGGGCGUAAAGGGUGUGUAGGCGGUUGUUUAAGUUUGGUGUGAAAUCUCCCGGCUCAACUGGGAGGGUGCGCCGAAUACUGAAUGACUUGGAGUGCGGGAGAGGUGAGUGGAAUUCCUGGUGUAGCGGUGAAAUGCGCAGAUAUCAGGAGGAACACCGGUGGCGAAGGCGGGUCUCUGGGCCGUAACUGACGCUGAGGAGCGAAAGCGUGGGGAGCGAACAGG
rnacentral:rRNA from 1 species